CUUCUCCUCUCUCACUGUGCUGCCGUUCCGGGUUUCUUUCAUUCGAUUCAUUUUAUCUACUGCGGAUCCACCAAAUUUAUCGGGGAACUAGCUGCACCGAUGAAAAAGGAGUUGCAGAGCUUUUGGUUGUUUGACAUCGUUUUGAACCUGGAAGGCUCAGAUCUACAAAAGCCCCCAACUUCCCAGGUUCGAUAUCGCCGGAUACACGACACGCGUCACCGUCCCCUUUACUUUUAAGGCCUUAAGGUGAAUGAUUGAGGACUAUUCAUAAUCAGUAGCUUGCUAACAUACCCGAUCUAUCAAUUUAUGGCUUUUCUGAGUCUUAUGUGGUGGGAUUUUGUUAAUUUUCAGUUUGGGUGUUUUAUUAAGUUCUGAAUUGUGAAAUUUGAAUCUUUUGGGGCUAGUUUAGUUUUUUGAAUGCUUCUUUAGGAUCAACAUUGUUUGAGUUGUUUGAUUUUCCCAAAUUCAUGAUUGAAAUAUUAGGUUACUGAUUGACUUGUCUUGAUUUGGUUUAUUUCAGUUCAGUAGUAUCAAAAUUCAAAGUUUCAUUGUUAUUCUACUAUACUUGUGAUCUUUAUUGAUGUGUUCUUGUAUCAACAAUAGUUGGUAAUAUUUGGUAUUUCUAAUACAGUAGCUCUCAGCCUCUAUUGGUAAUUACUUUCAUGCGCGCGUACUCCUUGCUUAACAUAUCUGAGUCUUCUUCAUCAGAGUUGGUCCACUAUUGAUAUUAACCUCGGGCUGAGGUAUCUCUUUAGUAACAAAGACAUCUUCUUCAUGGAGUUGAGUUCCAAUGCUUCUGAUGUGCUAUACAAGAUUAGAUUCCUUUCCCUCACAUAUAAGGAAAUUCAGAUUAAAUUAGACCAAGAGAGAGAAUCCUCUCCUAUGUGACUGGGGUACAUGUAUGACAAAGGAGGUGGCUUGAUCAAGAACUUGGGAAUUAUAGCAAAAUCUGGAACUUCAUGUCUCUUUUGUUGUUAUAUUGAAGUUUACAUUUGUUAUCUAUUUUGAAUGCAAUUGAUGGAAAGGUAAAAGUUAUUAGAACCUAUUGUUUGUUUAUUUGUCUUUAGUUUGUAUAAUAGUACUACUUUUGUGUGAGGACCUUGUUGAUCUAGUUAAAUUAAUUAAUUAUAGUUUGCAGGGGUUGAUGUUAAAUAUGAAGAGAUAAUUGAAGCAACCUCAACUGGCUCCAGUUCAAUGAUUUCCAAGAUUGUUCAAAUGGUUGAGGAUGCUCAAGGCCAUGAAGCACCAAUAGAAGGGCUCACUGAUUCAAUAGCUGGAUCUUUUGUAUACAGUAUAAUGACUCUCAGCUACAAUAUUUGCUUUUUGAAACAAAGGGAGGUGGAAUCAGAAAGGAUAGAGAAGAUGCCGGAGGAACAUGCAGCCGUGAACCUGCUUUCUAACUGUGCUCGAGGCUCGACAUGAACAUCACUGGCAGAUUCAUUGGCAGAUAUGGUAUGAUUGCAGAAAAGAAUACAUCUACCUUUGUUUUCUUUAAGAACUUCAGGUACUGUGAGCACGUUGCCAUUUGCUUUGAAAGAGUUUGUCCAUAUCAAAGAAGGGUUGCAAUUGUGGAGAAGAAAUUUUGUUGUCUCUGGAUGUAAUGAAUUAUUUUGAGUUCGUGAAUUUGUUGUAUGAUGCAUUUUUUAAUAUAGUAUACAUUACAUGAAAUGUAGAGGUGUUAAAUACUAGUAUUUGCUAGUAUUUGGGACCUAUUUUUUUAUUCCAGUUUAAUGAUUUUGCCACUGAUAUCAGUGGAAUUCCGAAGCCACCGAUAUUUGGAUCAGUUGCUUUGGCACUGAUUUGGAUGCAAUU